UCCCUGGUGGCUCAGAGGUUAAAGCAUCUGCCUGCAAUGUGGGAGACCUGGGUUCGAUCCCUGGAUUGGGAA
rnacentral:tRNA from 1 species